AGAUAAACAUUACAAGCAAUUUGAUUUUCAGUGACCAACAACUCAUCAAACUUCAGAAGAGAAAUACAAUCCUAUAGUUAUGAGCUCUAUAAUAUGAAGUAGUAUUUGUUUACAACCUCAAGCCUUUGUAGCUUAGUGUUAUUCGUCCCCUCUGCAAGGGUGAGAGACCCAUGUACGAAUCUCAAUCCCCAGUCCCCCAACUCAAACCAAUAAUAAAAAAAUAAAAAAAUAAAAUCGUUGAAAAAGAAAAUAAGCUGAAGAAGCAACAUUUGGAUAACCCAACUGGCUUUUUCAACAAAUAAAAUUUCCCCAAUGUAGUCACAAAUAUGCACUCAGAUACAUCCUCCACGAGAUUAUGCCAGAGACCUAUAGCAAUGAUUGCAAGGCGAAACAUGGACAAUGAGUUGAGAGAACAAGUGCUUCAAGCUCCAAAAAUUCAUGCUCUUAAGUUGUCUACAAUUCGCCCAGGUGAAUAUGCGUAGCUCAGAAAGCAAUCGAGAAGAUGAAAAACGAAAGGGAAAAAUUUCAGCUUACCAGUUUGAUCAAAUGGGCAGACGCUGCGGAUUCCCACCUUCGCCGGACACACUCUCUCUCUUUCUCAGCUUGACCUUGAGUACGGUGGCCGCGUAAUAAAACGGAAUAAGGUUGGCGGAACGGAGGCGUGCGGCGGCGGCAGGUUAUACUUGGGUUUUUACCAUUGUUCAUUAAUUCGCUUCGACCUCUCAAGCUUUUUAAUUUAACAACUAACCCCUCGUAAUUCUAACUUCUUACCCGAAGCUCCUCGAUUUUCUUUUUCUUUUUUUUUUUCUUUUUUUUUUAUUUUAUAAAUUUACAAUACAUUAAAUAAAAAAAAUUAAAAGGUUGGACCUCGACCUCAAAAUCUUUGGACUUA